rnacentral:tRNA from 1 species
GGAGAGGUCGCGUAGCCCGGUUUAGCGCGCAUGCCUGGAGAGCAUGUGUACCGAAAGGUACCCAGGGUUCGAAUCCCUGCCUCUCCGCCA